rnacentral:rRNA from 1 species
GGAUCCAGACUUUGAUCCUGGCUCAGGAUGAACGCUGGCGGCAUGCCUAAGACAUGCAAGUCGAACGAGAUGUACCAAUGAAGAUUGAGUGCUUGCACAAAGUUGGAUUUGGAUUUGCAUCUAGUGGCAGACGGGUGAGUAACACGUGGGUAACCUACCCUGAAGACUGGGAUAACAGUUAGAAAUGACUGCUAAUACCGGAUGAUUCAUGAGAAGAUAACUUUUCAUGCUAAAAGGAGCGUUUGCUUCACUUCAGGAUGGGCUUGCGGUGUAUUAGCUAGUUGGUGGGGUAAUGGCUCACCAAGGCAACGAUGCAUAUCCGAGCUGAGAGGCUGAUCGGACACACUGGGACUGAGACACGGCCCAGACUCCUACGGGAGACAGCAGUUAGGAAUAUUCGUCAAUGGAGGAAACUCUGAACGAGCAAUGCCGCGUGAGUGAUGAAGGUCUUUAUGAUUGUAAAACUCUGUUGUAAAGGAAGAACAACUAUCAUAGGAAAUGAUGAUAGUCUGACGGUACUUUGCCAGAAAGCCCCGGCUAACUACGUGCCAGCAGCCGCGGUAAUACGUAGGGGGCGAGCGUUAUCCGGAUUUAUUGGGCGUAAAGCGUGUGUAGGCGGUUUAUUAAGUCUAAGAUUAAAGCCUGGGGCUCAACCCCAGUUCGUCUUAGAAACUGGUAGACUUGAGUGUGGUAGAGGCAAGUGGAAUUUCUAGUGUAGCGGUUAAAUGCGUAGAUAUUAGAAGGAACACCAGUGGCGAAGGCGGCUUGCUGGGCCAUUACUGACGCUGAGACACGAAAGCGUGGGGAGCAAAUAGGAUUAGAUACCCUAGUAGUCCACGCCGUAAACGAUGAGUACUAAGUGUCGGGUAACCGGUGCUGAAGCUAACGUAUUAAGUACUCCGCCUGAGUAGUACGGUCGCAAGGGUGCAACUCAAAUGAAUUGACGG